GGCUGGUGUGCCGUGGAGUUCCCACUAAUCGACUCAAACUCCGUGACUUCAAAGGCCUCUUUUAUGAGGAGAGCGGUGGAUAGAAAGGAAAUUAGAGACACAGCGAAUGAAGGCGGGAUUUCAUGACCCGUGUUGUGGAAACUGUAACCUCAUUGGUUGUUGGAAGGAAUGACAGACAGGAGCUGAGGAGGGCCCCGUUUGCGUCUUAUCUACGGUCCUUGCAGUGAGCUGGGGAAGAAAACCACAUUUAAAAACAAAUCGAACCAGCCCUCCACAGACAACAAGGCUUUGUUCUCCGGCUGGUUCUCCAAACC